rnacentral:rRNA from 1 species
UCUGAACCAGCCAUGCCGCGUGCAGGAAGACUGCCCUAUGGGUUGUAAACUGCUUUUAUACAGGAAGAAACCCUUCUACGUGUAGAAGGCUGACGGUACUGUAUGAAUAAGCACCGGCUAACUCCGUGCCAGCAGCCGCGGUAAUACGGAGGGUGCAAGCGUUAUCCGGAAUCAUUGGGUUUAAAGGGUCCGUAGGUGGGCAAUUAAGUCAGAGGUGAAAUCCCAUAGCUUAACUAUGGAACUGCCUUUGAUACUGGUUGUCUUGAGUUAUAUUGAAGUAAGUAGAAUGUGUAGUGUAGCGGUGAAAUGCAUAGAUAUUACACAGAAUACCGAUUGCGAAGGCAGA